rnacentral:tRNA from 1 species
AUCCCUGUAGUGCAAUGGUUAGCGCAUUGGACUUCUAAUCCAAAGGUUGUGGGUUCGAAUCCCACCUGGGAUG